UCACUAGAUGUAUCCCGCGUCCGCGGGACGUGUCGCAGCUAACGCGCUAAGUGACCCGCCUGGGGAGUACGGUCGCAAGACUGAAACUCAAAGGAAUUGACGGGGGCCCGCACAAGCGGUGGAGCAUGUGGUUCAAUUCGACGCAACGCGAAGAACCUUACCCGGGCUUGAAGAGUACGGGACCAGGCGGUGAAAGCCGCCCUUCCCGCAAGGGACUCGUGCAGAGGUGCUGCAUGGCUGUCGUCAGCUCGUGUCGUGAGAUGUUGGGUUAAGUCCCGCAACGAGCGCAACCCUUGCUCUCAGUUGCUACUCCCGCGCAAGCGGGACGCUCUCUGAGAGGACUGCCCGCGAUAAGCGGGAGGAAGGUGGGGAUGACGUCAAGUCAGCAUGGCCUUUAUGUCCGGGGCCACACACGUGCUACAAUGCGCGCUACAGAGGGCCUGCCAACCCGCAAGGGGGAGCCAAUCCCACAACAGCGCGCUCAGUUCGGAUUGGGGUCUGCAACUCGACCCCAUGAAGCUGGAAUCGCUAGUAAUGGCGCAUCAGCUCGGCGCCGUGAAUACGUUCCCGGGCCUUGUACACACCGCCCGUCACAUCACGAAAGGGGGCUGCACUAGAAGUGCCCGACCGAACCGCAAGGACGCCGGGCCCGACCGUGUGGUCUCUGAUUGGGGUG
rnacentral:rRNA from 1 species